GACGAACGCUGGCGGCGUGCUUAACACAUGCAAGUCGAACGGAAAGGCCCUGCUUUUGUUGGGUGCUCGAGUGGCGAACGGGUGAGUAACACGUGAGUAACCUGCCCUUGACUUUGGGAUAACUUCAGGAAACUGGGGCUAAUACCGGAUAGGAGCUCCUGCUGCAUGGUGGGGGUUGGAAAGUUUCGGCGGUUGGGGAUGGACUCGCGGCUUAUCAGCUUGUUGGUGGGGUAGUGGCUUACCAAGGCUUUGACGGGUAGCCGGCCUGAGAGGGUGACCGGCCACAUUGGGACUGAGAUACGGCCCAGACUCCUACGGGAGGCAGCAGUGGGGAAUAUUGCACAAUGGGCGGAAGCCUGAGGCAGCAACGCCGCGUGCGGGAUGACGGCCUUCGGGUUGUAAACCGCUUUCGCCUGUGACGAAGCGUGAGUGACGGUAAUGGGUAAAGAAGCACCGGCUAACUACGUG
rnacentral:rRNA from 1 species